rnacentral:rRNA from 1 species
GUGAGUGAAGUAAGGUUUCGGAUACGUAAAACUCUGUUGGUAGAGAAGAACGUUGGUGAGAGUAGGAAAGCUCAUACAAGUGACGGUAACCUACCCAGAGAGCCGACGGACUAACUACGGUCGCCAGCACGCCGACGGUAAUACGGUAGGUGGACAAGUCGUUCGUCCGGUAAUUAGUUGGGACGUAAAGCGCGCGCGAGGUCGGUUACCUUUAAGUCUGAUGUAGAACGCCCGACGCUACCACGUGGAGGUCUGUAGAACGUGGGGACUUGAGUGCAGAAGAGGAAAGUGGAAUUCCAAGUGUAGCGGUGAAAUGCGUAGAGAUUUG